rnacentral:lncRNA from 1 species
CUCAUGUCUUGCUGAUAAUGUGACCAUCCUGAGACAGAAUGGAAUUGGAGCUGCAGAUAUGCAGGACUUUUACUCUAAUAGGAAGUGUUCUUUCCCCCGUUGUUUUCCCAAUCAAUACCUUAUCUCUCCCAGACAAGAAUAGAGUUUGGAGAUGGACUUGCUUACCCGUCUAAAGGAUGUGGAAUUGGAGAAUAAGUGAGCUAAUCUUGGAAGAAUUUUGCAGCAAAACAGGACAUUUCUCCAUGGAUCCAGAGGAAGUGGUAACUGAGGGUUUGAGCUGUAUAGGGAUCUGGCUUCUUCAUGGGUAUUCCUAGUGGAUGGCCUCAAGUCUACAAUAGAGACUGCUUGGCUGUCUGCAGUGGAAAAGACCUUCAAGUUGACUGUGAGUGGGUGCGACUCAUCAAGAAAAAUAACCUCACCACCACAACAACACAUGAUGGGAGAGACCGAAACUUCUUUGGGAGAACAUAAGGGGGAAAAAAAUAAAAGAAAAAGUGAAGUGUAAAUAUUAUUAAAC